AUUGAACGCUGGCGGCAUGCCUUACACAUGCAAGUCGAACGGUAACGGGCCUUCGGGUGCCGACGAGUGGCGAACGGGUGAGUAAUACAUCGGAACGUGCCCGAUCGUGGGGGAUAACGAGGCGAAAGCUUUGCUAAUACCGCAUACGAUCUACGGAUGAAAGCAGGGGACCGCAAGGCCUUGCGCGGACGGGGCGGCCGAUGGGAGAUUAGGUAGUUGGUGGGAUAAAAGCUUACCAAGCCGACGAUCUGUAGCUGGUCGGAGAGGAUGAUCGGCCACACUGGAACUGAGACACGGCCCAGACUCCUACGGGAGGCAGCAGUGGGGAAUUUUGGACAAUGGGCGCAAGCCUGAUCCAGCCAUGCCGCGUGCAGGAUGAAGGCCUUCGGGUUGUAAACUGCUUUUGUACGGAACGAAAAGCCUUCUUUUAAUACAGGAGGGUCAUGACGGUACCGUAAGAAUAAGCACCGGCUAACUACGUG
rnacentral:rRNA from 1 species